UUUGUUUCAGCCGCCGCGGUAAUGCGUAGGGUGCAAGCGUUAAUCGGAAUUACUGGGCGUAAAGCGUGCGCAGGCGGUUAUGCAAGACAGAGGUGAAAUCCCCGGGCUCAACCUGGGAACUGCCUUUGUGACUGCAUGGCUAGAGUACGGUAGAGGGGGAUGGAAUUCCGCGUGUAGCAGUGAAAUGCGUAGAUAUGCGGAGGAACACCGAUGGCGAAGGCAAUCCCCUGGACCUGUACUGACGCUCAUGCACGAAAGCGUGGGAAGCAAACAGGAUUAGAUACCCUGGUAGUCCACGCCCUAAACGAUGUCAACUGGUUGUUGGGAGGGUUUCUUCUCAGUAACGUAGCUAACGCGUGAAGUUGACCGCCUGGGGAGUACGGCCGCAAGGUUGAAACUCAAAGGAAUUGACGGGGACCCGCACAAGCGGUGGAUGAUGUGGUUUAAUUCGAUGCAACGCGAAAAACCUUACCUACCCUUGACAUGCCAGGAAUCCUGAAGAGAUUUGGGAGUGCUCGAAAGAGAGCCUGGACACAGGUGCUGCAUGGCCGUCGUCAGCUCGUGUCGUGAGAUGUUGGGUUAAGUCCCGCAACGAGCGCAACCCUUGUCAUUAGUUGCUACGAAAGGGCACUCUAAUGAGACUGCCGGUGACAAACCGGAGGAAGGUGGGGAUGACGUCAGGUCAUCAUGGCCCUUAUGGGUAGGGCUACACACGUCAUACAAUGGCCGGGACAGAGGGCUGCCAACCCGCGAGGGGGAGCUAAUCCCAGAAACCCGGUCGUAGUCCGGAUCGUAGUCUGCAACUCGACUGCGUGAAGUCGGAAUCGCUAGUAAUCGCGGAUCAGCUUGCCGCGGUGAAUACGUUCCCGGGUCUUGUACACACCGCCCGUCAAAC
rnacentral:rRNA from 1 species